rnacentral:tRNA from 1 species
ACCAGGAUGGCUCAGUAGGUACAGUGUGUGACUCUUGAUCUCAGAGUUGUGGGUUCAAGCCCCACACUGGGUG